rnacentral:rRNA from 1 species
CAGGCUUAACACAUGCAAGUCGACCUACAGCAUUUUAGUUUGCUUGCAAACUGAAGAUGGCGACCGGCGCACGGGUGAGUAACACGUAUCCAACCUGCCGAUCACUCCGGAAUAGCCUUUCGAAAGAAAGAUUAAUACCGGAUAGUAUACGAAUAUCGCAUGGUAUUUUUAUUAAAGAAUUUCGGUUAUCGAUGGGGAUGCGUUCCAUUAGUUUGUUGGCGGGGUAACGGCCCACCAAGACUACGAUGGAUAGGGGUUCUGAGAGGAAGGUCCCCCACAUUGGAACUGAGACACGGUCCAAACUCCUACGGGAGGCAGCAGUGAGGAAUAUUGGUCAAUGGGCGAGAGCCUGAACCAGCCAAGUAGCGUGAAGGAUGAAGGCUCUAUGGGUCGUAAACUUCUUUUAUAUGGGAAUAAAGUUUUCCACGUGUGGAAUUUUGUAUGUACCAUAUGAAUAAGGAUCGGCUAACUCCGUGCCAGCAGCCGCGGUAAUACGGAGGAUCCGAGCGUUAUCCGGAUUUAUUGGGUUUAAAGGGAGCGUAGGUGGAUUGUUAAGUCAGUUGUGAAAGUUUGCGGCUCAACCGUAAAAUUGCAGUUGAAACUGGCAGUCUUGAGUACAGUAGAGGUGGGCGGAAUUCGUGGUGUAGCGGUGAAAUGCUUAGAUAUCACGAAGAACUCCGAUUGCGAAGGCAGCUCACUAGACUGUCACUGACACUGAUGCUCGAAAGUGUGGGUAUCAAACAGGAUUAGAUACCCUGGUAGUCCACACAGUAAACGAUGAAUACUCGCUGUUUGCGAUAUACAGUAAGCGGCCAAGCGAAAGCAUUAAGUAUUCCACCUGGGGAGUACGCCGGCAACGGUGAAACUCAAAGGAAUUGACGGGGGCCCGCACAAGCGGAGGACCAUGUGGUUUAAUUCGAUGAUACGCGAGGAACCUUACCCGGGCUUAAAUUGCAACAGAAUAUAUUGGAAACAGUAUAGCCGUAAGGCUGUUGUGAAGGUGCUGCAUGGUUGUCGUCAGCUCGUGCCGUGAGGUGUCGGCUUAAGUGCCAUAACGAGCGCAACCCUUAUCUUUAGUUACUAACAGGUGAUGCUGAGGACUCUAGAGAGACUGCCGUCGUAAGAUGUGAGGAAGGUGGGGAUGACGUCAAAUCAGCACGGCCCUUACGUCCGGGGCUACACACGUGUUACAAUGGGGGGUACAGAAGGCGGCUACCUGGUGACAGGAUGCUAAUCCCAAAAACCUCUCUCAGUUCGGAUCGAAGUCUGCAACCCGACUUCGUGAAGCUGGAUUCGCUAGUAAUCGCGCAUCAGCCAUGGCGCGGUGAAUACGUUCCCGGGCCUUGUACACACCGCCCGUCAAGCCAUGAAAGCCGGGGGUACCUGAAGUACGUAACCGCAAGGAGCGUCCUAGGGUAAAACUGAUAAUU